rnacentral:rRNA from 1 species
AGGUCCAGCCUGCCCAGUGACCAUGUUCAACGGCCGCGGUAUCCUAACCGUGCGAAGGUAGCGUAAUCACUUGUUCUUUAAAUGUGGACUAGUAUGAAUGGCACCACGAAGGUUAUACUGUCUCCUUUUUCUAAUCAGUGAAACUAAUCUUCCCGUGAAGAAGCGGGAAUAUAUUUAUAAGACGAGAAGACCCUAUGGAGCUUUAAACAACACAGCAAUUACCUACUAAACUAUUAAGUUUCUGAAUAUUAACACUUUUAAGUAAUCUGACUGUAAGUUUUUGGUUGGGGUGACCACGGAGCAUAACACAACCUCCAUGCUGAAAGAACUCUUUCUAAGCUAAGAACAACCCACCUAAGCAUCAAUAUAUUGACAUUCAUUGACCCAAUUCAUUUGACCAACGAACCAAGUUACCCUAGGGAUAACAGCGCAAUCCGCUUCAAGAGCUCCUAUCGACAAGUGGGUUUACGACCUCGAUGUUGGAUCAGGGUAUCCCAGUGGUGCAGCCGCUACUAAAGGUUCGUUUGUUCAACGAUUAAAACCCU